UGAUAUCGAUUUACAUGGAUAACCGUGGUAAUUCUAGAGCUAAUACAUGCUGGAGUGCCCGACUUUUCGGAAGGGCGGUAUUUAUUAGAUAACAAGCCAAUAUUCCUCUGGUCUAUUGUGGUGAUUCAUAAUAACUGAUCGAAUCGCAUGGUCUUUGACCGCGAUAAGUCAUUCAAGUUUCUGCCCCAUCAGCUUUCGAUGGUAGUGUAUUGGACUACCAUGGCGUUUACGGGUAACGGAGGAUUAGGGUUCGAUUCCGGAGAGGGAGCCUGAGAAACGGCUACCACAUCUAAGGAAGGCAGCAGGCGCGUAAAUUACCCAAUCCCGACUCGGGGAGGUAGUGACAAGAAAUAACGGACCGAGGCCUUCGGGCUUCGGGAUUGCAAUGAGCCGAAUUUACACCCCUUAGCGAAGAUCGAUUGGAGGGCAAGUCUGGUGCCAGCAGCCGCGGUAAUUCCAGCUCCAAUAGCGUAUAUUAAUGUUGUUGCAGUUAAAAAGCUCGUAGUUGAAUUUCUGGGAGGGUGCCGAUGUCCGCGAUUCGUGUGUGCAGCGGCGCCCUCUCAUCCUUCUGUUAGCGCCUCUUGGCAUUCACUUGCUGGUGGCGGGCUCAGAUAUUUUACCUUGAGAAAAUUAGAGUGUUUCAGGCAGGCUAGGCCGGAAUACAUUAGCAUGGAAUAAUGGAAUAGGACUACGGUCUCUUUGUUGGUUUGAGGGGCUGCAGUAAUGAUUAAUAGGGAUAGUUGGGGGCAUUAGUACUUAACUGUCAGAGGUGAAAUUCUCAGAUUUGUUAAAGACUGACUUAUGCGAAAGCAUUUGCCAAGGAUGUUUUCAUUAAUCAAGAACGAAAGUUAGGGGAUCAAAGACGAUCAGAUACCGUCCUAGUCUUAACCAUAAACUAUGCCAACUCGGGAUCGGAAGCGUGUUCUAUCCGCUUUCGGCACCGUAUGAGAAAUCAAAGUCUUUGGGUUCUGGGG
rnacentral:rRNA from 1 species